rnacentral:sRNA from 1 species
AACGCGCGCUUGAUGGUAAACACCCGAC